GUUGUGGUAGCCAAGCGGCCCAAGGCGCAUGGUUGCUAACCAUGUGGCGUCAAGCCUCCGGGGUUCGAAUCCCCGCCACAACG
rfam:Haloterrigena limicola JCM 13563 contig_39, whole genome shotgun sequence.